ACAAAGGUUUUUUUAAAAACCUCAUUUUUUAUUAUAGCACAUGUAGU
rfam:Papio anubis isolate 1X1155 chromosome 14, whole genome shotgun sequence.